rnacentral:scRNA from 1 species
CGCCUUCUUCAGGGGGAAGCUCAAUAUCCCCA